rnacentral:rRNA from 1 species
AUGCAGCCCCUUCCGAACGGCGCUGCGCGACUAAGGGUUAGUUUAUACGCCGACGAUGCCAUCAUUUUUGCAAACCCGAGCCGGGAGGAGGUAGAUAUACUGCUAGAGAUCCUCAAACUCUUCGGGGAUACCACCGAGCUAUGCAUCAACCAGCAGAAAUGCUCAGCGAUUCCGAUCCGCUGCGCCGAUGUUGAUCUCGACCACGUGCUGCAAAAUUUCGGCGGAGGACGAGCUGGCUUCCCUUUCAGAUACCUCGGCCUCCCCGUUUCAACGACCAGAACCAGGCUAGUCCACCUGCAGUUCAUACUGGAUAGAAUCCAAGCGCGGCUCGCGGGCUGGAAGGGUAGGCUCAUCUCUCUCGCCGGGCGUUGAGUGCUGGUCCGCUGCGUCCUUUCGACCAUGCCAACCUUCACCCUGACUGUCCUGCGGGUGCCAAAAAAGUUGUUCGAGGAGAUCGACAAAGUUCGUCGUUGCUUCUUAUGGGCGCAUGAUGAGGAGGUGUCGGGAGGAAAGUGCAAAGUUGCCUGGAAGCUAGUCACUCAGCCGGAGGAGGACGGCGGCCUCGGCAUCCAUGACCUGGCGCAAUUCGCGCAUGCCCUCCGGCUCAGAUGGCUCUAG